GAUGAACGCUGGCGGCGUGCCUAAUACAUGCCAGUCGAACGCAUAGCGAAAGGUGCUUGCACCUUUCAAGUGAGUGGCGAACGGGUGAGUAACACGUGGACAACCUGCCUCAAGGCUGGGGAUAACAUUUGGAAACAGAUGCUAAUACCGAAUAAAACUUAGUGUCGCAUGACACAAAGUUAAAAGGCGCUUCGGCGUCACCUAGAGAUGGAUCCGCGGUGCAUUAGUUAGUUGGUGGGGUAAAGGCCUACCAAGACAAUGAUGCAUAGCCGAGUUGAGAGACUGAUCGGCCACAUUGGGACUGAGACACGGCCCAAACUCCUACGGGAGGCUGCAGUAGGGAAUCUUCCACAAUGGGCGAAAGCCUGAUGGAGCAACGCCGCGUGUGUGAUGAAGGCUUUCGGGUCGUAAAGCACUGUUGUAUGGGAAGAACAGCUAGAAUAGGAAAUGAUUUUAGUUUGACGGUACCAUACCAGAAAGGGGCGGCUAAAUACGUGC
rnacentral:rRNA from 1 species